GUUUGCUCCCAAGACAGAGACAAGAGAAACUAGCUCUUGGGAUUUUAUACUGCUUGUAUUAUCCAUGAAUUUUGAUUACAAACCGGAGAGGAGGUAGAAGGGAACAAGCAUUUUGUUAACUCUUUGCUAGCAACUCUAUUGUUUUCAGAUCUGUUUGCCCAUAGGAUGUUCUUAAGAUGAAUACUCAGUAUCGACUGAACCAUGUAAUUUGGUCAAGUAGGUUUACAAUAAUAAUGUUAGACUAAUUUUGGUUUGUUCUAGGUUUAUGUGUCGGGAUGGUCCUGAUGAACACGCUGAAGAAACACGCUUGCCUCUCCACCAGGAUAACACUUUGUAGAGAUAGUGGAUGCCUGGAAACAAUGGAAAAUACGAAACAAGUCCUACUUACAUGAUCUAGGUUGACAGAGUGAUCGCAGACCUCAAAACGUUUUGAGUGCAGUAUUCGUCCUGAGCACACAAAGGCGUCCUCAUUGUUAUUCACUGCUACUUGCACUUGUAAUAUCUGUUUUCGUACCUUUUUGUGCUCGGCCAAAAUGGCAUAAGCCUCUGUACAUAUGCCAUGCAAAUAAUUCUGCUGUUGUAAUUCC